UGUAGGAGUGAGCCUGCUCGCGAUAGCGGUGUAUCAGCCGACAUUGAUGUUGAAUGUCAGUCAGCUAUCGCGAGCAGGCUCACUCCUACA
rnacentral:misc_RNA from 1 species